GCCUCUGUAGCUCAGUGGAUCAGAGCGUCGCACUACGAAUGCGAAAGUCCCAGGUUCGAGUCCUGGCAGAGGUG
rnacentral:tRNA from 1 species